rnacentral:rRNA from 1 species
CCUACGGGAGGCAGCAGUGGGGAAUAUUGCACAAUGGGGGAAACCCUGAUGCAGCGACGCCGCGUGAGUGAAGGAGUAUCUCGGUACGUAAAGCUCUAUCAGCAGGGAAGAUAAUGACGGUACCUGACCAAGAAGCCCCGGCUAACUACGUGCCAGCAGCCGCGGUAAUACGUAGGGGGCAAGCGUUAUCCGGAUUUACUGGGUGUAAAGGGAGCGUAGACGGCAGCACAAGUCUGGAGUGAAAUCCCGGGGCCUACCCCCGGGACUGCUUUGGAAACUGUGCGGCUGGAGUGCAGGAGGGGUAAGCGGAAUUCCUAGUGUAGCGGUGAAAUGCGUAGAUAUUAGGAGGAACACCGGUGGCGAAGGCGGCUUACUGGACUGUAACUGACGUUGAGGCUCGAAAGCGUGGGGAGCAAACAGGAUUAGAUACCCGUGUAGUC